GAAAAAGUACACAGUGGAGAGUGAGGGAAAGACACGACAUCGGCUCCAAAUACUGUACUCCACUCCGCCUUAUCUUUUCUACAGAGAGAAACAAUGGACAUGCAUUAACUUGUCAUCCUUUCCAGAAAAGUCAUCGCAACAUCUCUUCAAUAACGGUCAUCUCUACUCAAUGUUAUUACCGAGUGAUACUUGAGAAAGAUCGGCGAUGGAAGGUUGUAUUGGUACUAAACUGAAAUCUUGAUUGGGGGGAGAUUAGUGAUCGAAGACAAUGGAUUGUUAUGAUUGGUUGGGGGCAAAUUCAAGAUUCCUAUUUGCAAGAGGUCAGAGGAGGUGAAGAGGUGCCAGAACUGUUCAAAUGUAGGUAGUGUAUGAAAAGGUGAUUCCCAAAUUGUCGUUCAGAUGUAGCGUUCAACAAACCUAUGGUAUCACACAGAGGCAACUCAAUGAGAUGGAAUUGAUUUUUUUUUCACUUUGUGGUUUGCCUAUACCCUAUGUUGCCUUUGGACUUGCUAAUCUAACACUUUGUUGGAUUUGGGCAAACAUUAUAAGGUACAGAGUCACGUCUUCAAAAAAACCUUUUAUCAGAUUAGAGGAUAUGGAUAAGUAUGUUGUUGGAUCUCAAUUGUUACCUAUAGCUUUAGAUAGUUCCUAAUCCAAUGUUAGAAUGGCUUAUUUGGUGAACCUUUAUAUUUUGUUCUUUGUUUCAAAUAUUAUAGUAAACCAUUUAAUAGCUUACCAAAUGUUUGUGACUGCAUUUGUGACUAGGCUUGCGACUGCAUUUGUGACUGAGCCUCAAACUGGGUCUGUGACUGUGUAUGUGACUGGGCCAGAGCCUGUGUUUGAGACUGUGUAUGAGACUGGGCCUCAAACACUGUCUAUGAUUGGGCUUCAAACUGUGUAUGGACCUGAAAAUAACAAGUUGUUUUAGUGUCAUAAACAUAAAAGCUAGUUACGAAAACUUAGAGAUGGGUAAAAAGGGCUGGGGUAACAUGGAAAAUGUGAGACUUUUAUGCAUAAAAUUUUCGUGUUCUCAACUGUCUCAUAUAUACUAGAUGAUGUUGUAAUUGUUUUUAUUUUAUUUUGUGUUCUCUAAUUCCAGGUGUUGUUUGCUGCAACUGCAUUUACACUGUUUUACUAAUUUUUAAUGAUGUAUAGUCUUUUACAGUUUCCUUUGCGUUAUCUUACAUUCGACUUAUCUAUUGCAUGCUACUGACACCACUAUUCAGGUGAGCAUAUUUGUAUUUCCUUUAGGGAAUUAAAAUUUGAUUUGCUUUGCAUGGGUAUUGUAUAUAGUGUGUUGGCUUGUGUAUGUGAUAUAUGUAUGUUCUUUGGUUGUAGUUAGGGCUGGCAAUUUUACACAAAUACACGAAUAUACGAUACGAACCUACACGAAGUUAACAGGUAUCGUGUAUGGCCUUAACAGGUAUCGUGUACCAAACAGGUAGACACGAGAUUACCUGUUAAUUUUCGUGUAUAAACAGGUUAAAUACCUGUUUACCUGUU